GGCGCCAUCGUCUAGUGGUCAGGACGCCGGAUUUUCAUUCCGGAAACAGGGGUUCAAUUCCCCUUGGCGCUGCCA
rnacentral:tRNA from 1 species